AUCCAUCUGAAGAUUCGCAAGUAGAAGGAAACACGUGUCCUGGAU
rnacentral:hammerhead_ribozyme from 1 species